CUCUGCUCUGUUGGGCCCUUGAGCAAAGCCCUUAACAUGCAAUUGCUGAGCGCUUUAAGUAGUGAGAAAAGUGCCAUAUAAAUGCAAAGAAUUAUUAAGGUGGCACUGAAAUCCAAGACAUUGAAGCUGUGAGGCAGCCAUGCCAACCAUGACACAACUCCACAUGUUUGAGAACAGACUCACAUAAUAUAAGAUUGUCCGUCUGUAAUACUGUCUCCCAUUCAGAUCUGGUUCCUUCAUGUAUCCACUGUUGCCAGGAUAAUCACUGAGUCUCCACAGUCCUGAUCAGCAAAAGGCAAGUGUAGAAAAUGAAUGAGUGAAUAAAUGAUGAUACGGAUUUUCACUGUUAAAAUGUAUGUUAUCUUGAAUUUAGCUUGAACCUCAUCUAAGAAACCGAUACAACUUAGUAGGUGGCACUAGGCUGCCAUAUCCUUAAAUUAUCUGAAUUCAUCAUCUCCUUGGUCAUUUAGGUAUGUCUGUCAUAAGUACAAUUAGGUUUUAGGCUCAUAGUUGUAAAAAAAAAUCUCCAGUCAUGGUAAAUGAACAAAAACGCAUGUGUGAAUAUUCAUUUAUUUUGAUGCCAGUGCUCAGUUUAAAAGCACUGAGGCAUCAGUAGAGGUGUGUUUUAAACACACCACAUUAUUCCUGUUGCAGACUUGAUGUUCAAGGUUUGUGCCAACAACCACAUGCAUAUUAGAACCUCAUGAGAUUCCACAAUGUGUGUGGAGGUCAUAGAAGACAAGAGCCAAGAAAAGUACUGGUGGAAGGUGCUCUUGUCAGAUUUGUAGGAUUUUUAACCUACAGGUUGCAUUAAACACCUUCUGGCUGCCAUAAAGACCUACAAAGUGACACUUUCAAUAAAAGCAUGGGUCUAGUUGCUUAUCCUUUGUUUUUUUUUUUCUUUUGUACUUGGCCCCGCCCAUCUGUGAGUCAUGUGAUGGGGAGGCAGGGAAAUAAAAAGGGGAGAUCAAAUGUAUAGAAAGCUCAUGCAAUGCGCCAUCAUCUGAAAACCUCUCAUUUUAUUUCUGUCUGUUCUAGCAUGUGAUUGUCUUAUAAUAUGUGUUGCAUAGCGGAGCACUACGAUUUGUCUCUGCUCCAGCCAAUCCCUGACGCGUAGGACCAGCAGGGGCAGAGCUCUAGCUCAUUGCUGACAGGGUUGUGUAAUUAAAGGGCAUAAAGAUGGAUCUUCCUUUUAAUAUUUUGUGUAGGGUAUACACAUCAGUAAGAAAGGCAACGUGUGCAUAAUACGCUUCUUAAGUAUUUGUCUAUGGAAAUCAAAAUAAAACUUACAGGUAUUUAGAAUGACAUAAUUGUAUCCUUGAAAACUAAGAGAGGUGAGCUUCCUUCUAGAUAAUGGCCAUGGUAGAUUUCCUAGUAAGGUAUGACUAGUCACUCAGGCUUUCUUUAAUCCUUCUCCUUUUUAUUACUUAAAGUAGGCUCAACAUUUUAUAAAGAGUACGGAUUUCAAACUUGUUACUGACAAGAGGUUUUGUUUCAGUAGGUUUUGAUUAUGUUUAAGAUAAAUGUAGCUGCUAUGCUAAAUUAAAUUGGCAAACUGACUUAAAAUAUUAAAACACUUGAAGAUUUUAGUAAUAGUUUGCAAAAAAAAUAUUUUGUAAUAGCACUGCAAUGUUAUUGGAAUACAAUGUUACCUGUUGAAACUGUACAUUUUCUGUACAUAUUGUGAAAACAGGACUUGCACUGAGAUGACACACAUGCACGAGGACGCCUUUAUUUUCUUACUGUAUUGUACUGUAUCGUUAAUAAACUUGUGGUUUAAUGCCUACAAUUACAUUUGUGAUCAUUUUUACUUUUUUUUUUUUUUUUUUUUUAAAAAGGUCUGCACACUUUAAAUAAACAACCAUAAUUGUAAGAAUUCUUUGUAUAUUUCAGUUAGAAAGCCAAAGUCAUGUAUACCUGUGGAAGUCUUUGUCAAAAACUGUGCUUGGCGCCUUGGACAGUUCCAGCUGUAAACUGUGUGUGCAUCUCACCGCCUGGGAUUUCUUCAAGUAUGUGAACCAAUUUAAGACCUGAAGCCAUCAUCACGCCAGGCACAAAGAGCGCAGACGGACAUCGGACAAGCCGUGAACUGAACUCGCAUGAAGACUUCAAGAAAGGAAAAAAGCUAAACCUUCCUGCUCACUUUCACGUUUUCUGUGGUGGCCACCUGCGCCGCCACCA